AUGAGUUUCACAUGAGUGAAAAGUUUAAUCAUGAAACCAAAAGCAUAUCAUUUUAGGUGGAAAUAAUAAUUAAACACACACAGAAAGGACGUUUCUACAACAUUAUUUUCUAGGAUUUUCUAAGUUUUUGUAUAAUUUUAAACUAAAAUCCCUGAUCGUUGUUGUGCAAAAACUUCAAACCAGAAGUAAGAGUCUAAAAAACAACAAACUUUUUCAGGCUCAACUUCCACCUCCAGCUUUUCUGCCCUUUAACACCAUUAGGCGGCCAUCUUUACACCCACUCCACCACAUGCCCCUGCUGGAUGUAAUUGGCAAGACACUACAAAUAAAAUUCAAUUUCCAUUUAUUAUUUACAUUUGGGUUUUAAUCAAUUAUGAAUGACAGCUAAUUAGUGGCGCGCAAAGGCCAUCGCUCUGCACACUGUCAGAGUCGACUAAAGUCCUACUGUACGGCACGAAGCGCGGACGUUGACAAAAAAAACCCUCUCCGCUUUACAGAUCUGGGUGUCUUUUUUCUGAGGACACUUCACUAAUCAUUUGUGAAAGUGUGCGUGUGUGUGUGUGUCUGAGAGAGAGAGACUGUGCACGUGUUUGUUAAUAACAAGGCAAGUGAGAAUGAAGAGGAGCUAAACUGUGUAAGUCAUUUCUCAUUUUCUCUGCUUCACUGCCUGACAGAAGAAAGACCCGAGUUUUUGAGUGAUGGCGCCGACAAGUGAAAAGUGAAUAACAAGACUAGAGGCUGCGGGAAAAGAAAGGGACCAAAAAAAAUAAUCACCUGAGUCCCCACUGAGACACACUCCGACGCCCAUCUUCAUUCCCGUCGCCGUCUCCUGAGAACUACACGUAGAAGGUGUCAGCCAUAUUGACGGAGCGGGGAGUCCGCGGAGGCCCCUCAUUUUCUGACUGAACGGUCACAGAAAGAGCUAAUGAUAUAUGCUAUUGUGGAACAGAAGAGUUAUGGGAAAGGCCCAAACGUCGGCGUUCCCAAUUAUCUCGAAGGCAUUUCUUGCGCGGCGUUUUCGUCACGCAAACAAACCCAAACGCGAAUACAAAUAACAUGUGCAACGGCAGCUGCGGAGACUCAGGGACCGUCUGACAAAAUGUCAGGGAUCAGAAAGGGAGCGACUGUAGAACGUGCUUGAACAGCGAUUACACCUACACAUUUUAGUUCAGCAGAGAAAAGCCAAAAAAAAAAAAA